rnacentral:rRNA from 1 species
GAUGAACGCUGACAGAAUGCUUAACACAUGCAAGUCAACUUGAACUUCGGUUUGGGUGGCGGACGGGUGAGUAACGCGUAAAGAACUUGCCUCACAGAUAGGGACAACAUUUGGAAACGAAUGCUAAUACCUGAUAUUAUGAUUAUAUGGCAUCGUAUAAUUAUGAAAGCUAUAUGCGCUGUGAGAGAGCUUUGCGUCCCAUUAGCUAGUUGGAGAGGUAACGGCUCACCAAGGCGAUGAUGGGUAGCCGGCCUGAGAGGGUGAUCGGCCACAAGGGGACUGAGACACGGCCCUUACUCCUACGGGAGGCAGCAGUGGGGAAUAUUGGACAAUGGACCAAGAGCCUGAUCCAGCAAUUCUGUGUGCACGAUGAAGUUUUUCGGAAUGUAAAGUGCUUUCAGUUGGGAAGAAAAAAAUGACGGUACCAACAGAAGAAGUGACGGCUAAAUACGUG